rnacentral:rRNA from 1 species
GAUGAACGCUGGCGGCGUGCCUAAUACAUGCAAGUAGAACGCUGAAGCUUGGUGCUUGCCCCGAGCGGAUGAGUUGCGAACGGGUGAGUAACGCGUAGGUAACCUGCCUCUUAGCGGGGGAUAACUAUUGGAAACGAUAGCUAAUACCGCAUAAAAGUCGAUAUCGCAUGAUAUUGAUUUGAAAGGUGCAAAUGCAUCACUAAGAGAUGGACCUGCGUUGUAUUAGCUAGUUGGUGAGGUAACGGCUCACCAAGGCGACGAUACAUAGCCGACCUGAGAGGGUGAUCGGCCACACUGGGACUGAGACACGGCCCAGACUCCUACGGGAGGCAGCAGUAGGGAAUCUUCGGCAAUGGGGGCAACCCUGACCGAGCAACGCCGCGUGAGGGAAGAAGGUUUUCGGAUCGUAAAGCUCUGUUGUAAGAGAAGAACGAGUGUGAGAGUGGAAAGUUCACACUGUGACGGUAACUUACCAGAAAGGGACGGCUAACUACGUG